rnacentral:rRNA from 1 species
UGGGGAAUAUUGGACAAUGGGGGGAACCCUGAUCCAGCAAUGCCGCGUGUGUGAAGAAGGCCUGAGGGUUGUAAAGCACUUUCAGUGGGGAGGAGGGGUUAUUGGUUAAGAGCUGAUGAUUUGGACGUUACCCACAGAAGAAGCACCGGCUAACUCCGUGCCAGCAGCCGCGGUAAUACGGAGGGUGCGAGCGUUAAUCGGAAUUACUGGGCGUAAAGGGUGCGCAGGUGGUCUGAUAAGUUAUCUGUGAAAGCCCUGGGCUCAACCUGGGAAGGCCAGAUAAGACUGUUGGACUCGAGUACAGGAGAGGGCAGUGGAAUUUCCGGUGUAGCGGUGAAAUGCGUAGAGAUCGGAAGGAACACCGGUGGCGAAGGCGGCUGCCUGGCCUGAUACUGACACUGAGGCACGAAAGCGUGGGGAGCAAACAGGAUUAGAUACCCGUGUAGUCC